rnacentral:misc_RNA from 1 species
UCUUGGUCAUUUAGAGGAAGUAAAAGUCGUAACAAGGUUUCCGUAGGUGAACCUGCGGAAGGAUCAACCCCUGUGGGUAUAGUGAGAUGGUUUUUCCAACGCAACCCGUGCGCACAUCCAUUGGACUGGAUGCACGGGUGUGUGUGGUCUUCUUGGUGGGGAGGCCUGGUUAGGGCCUGACUUGGUGGGGGUGACUAGGCUGGACGGUGUACUGACAAAGCCGUUUUUCCAGUUAUAGAGCCGUUCCGGUCGGGCCCAAGGGCAUGUCCAGUCCCAUUGGUGGUGGACGCCCCUCCGUGGGCUCUGAGGCCUUGUCACCCUCAGUGUCCGUCGGAGUCUACAAAGGGGCACUUGUGCCCCGGCGUAACGUGGAUGUGUACAUGCAUAUUCCGGUUGGCCUUGUGCCAACAACAUGCCAGUGAAGACGUGUCCUUGUCCACUCCAACGUUUUUACCUACGGGACAAGGCCUAGCUGGUCCGCAGGCGGCGGGAUGACUUGGGUUGGAAGAGGGGGCCAAUGUGUACACAAUGCCCUCCUUCCGUUGUGCCCAAUCGUCUGAAGUUAUGGGCCUCGACGAAUUGAUGUAAGUCGAGGGGGUCAUAUCCGUUUUUGGCCCGGCAUGGACCUAGACCUACACGCGGUGCCCCUGUUCUUGACUGAUUAGGUCUAUAACAUCAAGCUGAGUUUUCCAAUGGGUUUUUAAAUAACUCUCAACAAUGGAUCUCUAGGCUCUUGCAUCGAUGAAGAACGCAGUGAACUGCGAUAACUGGUGUGAGUUGCAUGGCACUUCUAAUCUAACACCAAGCGAAUCAUCGAGUCUUUGAACGCAAACGGCACCCUUCCAGUCCAUUCCAAAGCGGUGGCGGAGGAUGAAGACAAGGGUAUCUCUGGCUGAGGGUAAUGAGAACUGAUCCAGUGUAACCGUUGGUUAGCUGGGGGAUUGGGCUUGCUUGGGGCA